rnacentral:rRNA from 1 species
CUACGGGAGGCACCAGUGAGGAAUAUUGCACAAUGGGGGGAACCCUGAUGCAGCAACGCCGCGUGGAGGAUGACGCAUUUCGGUGUGUAAACUCCUUUUAUAUGUCAAGAAAAUGACGGUAGCAUAUGAAUAAGCACCGGCUAACUCCGUGCCAGCAGCCGCGGUAAUACGGAGGGUGCAAGCGUUACUCGGAAUCACUGGGCGUAAAGGACGCGUAGGCGGGUUGGAAAGUCAGGUGUGAAAUCCUACAGCUUAACUGUAGAGCUGCACUUGAAACUUCUAAUCUAGAGUAUGUGAGGGGGAGAUGGAAUUAGUGGUGUAGGGGUAAAAUCCGUAGAUAUCACUAGGAAUACCUAAAGCGAAGGCGAUCUCCUGGAACAUUACUGACGCUAAGGCGUGAAAGCGUGGGGAGCAAACAGGAUUAGAUACCCUUGUAGUC